CCGGCCGGGGCGGGUCCGAGGAGGCGGGACGGAAUGACUGACAGGCAUCCUGCCAAUGGUAGAUGGGAGCGGGCCGCAGAGCCACUCAAGGCCAUGCGGGGGCGGGACUUAAACUUCGGGGCGGGAACCCCGCGAGGGGCGGGGCCUAGGGGGACGAGUCAAUUCGUGGCCGGCUCCCUGGGACCCCGGAGGGCGGAUCGCCUGGGCCACCCGGCGGCCGGCAACUGGCUGGGCAGGGGGUUCCCCGCAGUGCUCUGCAGGGGCUCCCCACCCAUAAUGCACCGGAGGCGGCCUUGGCCAGGCGGGCGUGGGGCAGCUACGACGGGCUGCGAGCGGCGCCUCUGAGGAGCCCGGGCGCUUCGUGGCCUGGCAGUGUUUCUAAGGGGCUCCGGUGGCCGCGCGCUCUUUCUGCCUCGUCUUGUGGCUUCGACCCUCUCUAUCCAGGAGAAUCUUGGAGAUUCUGGCGCGCGCCCCGGUUCUGAGAAGACUCUGCUUCGGGAUUCUUUUCCCUGGCCCCCGUUCUGAGGAGGAUCUUCGGAAAUCUUGCCCCGACCCCUCUUCUGAGAGAGUUUGGGGGUUUCUUGCCCUGCCCGGUUUUCUGAGGACAAUUGCCGGGAUCACGAUUAUGUUGUAGAUUCGGGACCCCAGCUCUGUUUCCUAAGAAAACAUGGGAGUUCGGGAUCCCUAAGGAGCAUUUGGAGAAUCCAGGGUCCACCGCCUUUUCCGAGGAAUAUUUGGGGCACAUACACUCCUUUUCUAAGCACUCUUGGGGGCCGCUCUCCCUGUCCCUCCUUUAUCUGAGGAAAGUGAGGGCUGCGCGCCCCCCUCCACCUUCGUUUCUGAAGAUAUCUUGGGGAUUUUCUGCCUCCCCUGUUUUCUCACUACACGAGGAAUUUGGGACUUCAAGCACCUCGCCUCUCUCCAGAGAAGGAUGGCAGGAGAUGGGCGCCCCUCACCCCUUUACUAAGGAAAUGCGACCGGGCGCGGUGGCUCACGCCUGGAAUCCCAGCACUUUGGAAGGUUGAGACUGGAGGGUCGAUUGAGCCCAGGAGUUUCAGACCAGCCUGGGCAACAUGGCAAAAUCCUGUCUCUACAAAAAUUAAAAUCAAAAUGAAAAAAUCAGCAGGGGUGGUGGCGCACACCUGUAGUCCCAGCUACUCCGGAGGCUGAGGUGGGAGGAUCGUUUGAACCGAGAGGUCGAGGCUGCAGUGAGCCAAGAUCGUGCCACUGCACUCCAGCCUGGGCGACAGAGCGAGACCCUGUCUCAAAAAAAAGAAAAAAGAAAGUUAUCGGGCGCGGUGGCUCACGCUUGUAUCCCAGCACUUUGGGAAGCCGAGGUGGGCGGAUCACCUGAGGUCAGGAGUUCGAGACCAGUCUGGCCAAGAUGGUGAAACCCUGUCUUUACUAAAAAUACAAAAAUUAGCCGGGCGUGGUAGUGGGCGCCUAUAGUCCCAGCUACUCGGGAGGCUGAGGCAGGAGAACCGCUUGAACCUGGGAGGCAGGUUGCAGUGCGCCGAGAUCCACCACUGCACUCCAGCCUGGAUGACAGUGAGACUCCGUCUCAAAAAGAAAGAAAGAAAAAGAAAAAUGCGAGGGAGUUGUGCUCCAUGUGCUUUUCUAAGCAGCAUCUGAGUGUGGGAGGAAGGGGUCCCCUUUUCCUGAAACUUCGACUUUCUGACGCCUCAGCCCUAGGACAAUGCGGCGAGGCCAGACCAGAGGAAAAUGAUCAGUGGAGGAGAUGGGGACUCAGGCUUCCAUUCACGUCAUCUGGCUCAGGAUUUGGGGACUGCAUCCUCAUGCUGAAGACCCCGCCACAGAGGGGGCCCCUGUGGGCAUGGCAGCAAGGGUGGCAGCCGUCUUUGGGAUGGCUCACAAAGCGGACAGAGGAAACAACAAAGACACAGCACGUGGCUCCUGUAAGUCAUUUUACUUUGAAUAUAUAGGAAACAAAAUCCACAAACAGGAAGCUAUGUUCUAUGGUUAUGUCUUUUAAACAAUGUUCU
rnacentral:lncRNA from 1 species